rnacentral:rRNA from 1 species
UACGUAGGAUGCAAGCGUUGUCCGGAAUUAUUGGGCGUAAAGAGCGCGCAGGCGGUUUGAGAAGUCAGAUGUGAAAGAGGCCGGCUUAACCGGCAAGGGUCAUUUGAAACUGACAGACUAGAGUACAGCAGAGGAUAGCGGAAUUCCCGGUGUAGUGGUGAAAUGCGUAGAUAUCUGGAGGAACACCGGUGGCGAAGGCGGCAUCCUGGACCGGCAUUGACGCUGAGGAGCGAAAGCCAGGGGAGCAAACGGG